rnacentral:rRNA from 1 species
AUUGAACGCUGGCGGCAGGCCUAACACAUGCAAGUCGAGCGAGCGGCGGACGGGUGAGUAAUGCAUGGGGGCUGCCCGUUAGCGGGGGAUAACUACUGGAAACCGUAGCUAAUACCGCAUACUAUCGGAUAACCCAUAGGGGAUUAGCUAGUAGGUGGGGUAAUGGCUCACCUAGGCGGCGAUCGCUAGCUGGUCUGAGAGGAUGAUCAGCUCCGCUAGGAGUGAGACACGGACCAGACGCCUACGGAGGCAGCAGUUGGGAAUAGUGCACACUGGGCGCAAGCCUGAUGCAGCCAUGCAGCGUGUAUGGAGGAGGCCCUAGGGUUGUAAAGUACUUUCAGUCGGGAGGCGUUACCGACAGAAGAAGCACCGGCUAACUCCGUGCCAGCAGCCGCGGUAAUUC